rnacentral:rRNA from 1 species
UACGUAGGGUCCAAGCGUUAUCCGGAAUUACUGGGCGUAAAGCGUACGUAGGCGGCGCGUUAAGUGAUAUGCGAAAUCCAGCGGCUCAACCGUUUGGACUGUAUAUCAUACUGGCGUGCUAGAGGAUGGCAGAGGCAAGUGGAAUUGGUAGUGUAGCAGUGAAAUGCGUAGAUAUUACCAGGAACACCAAUGGCGAAGGCAGCUUGCUGGGCCAUUUCUGACGCUGAGGUACGAAAGCGUGGGGAGCGAACAGG